rnacentral:tRNA from 1 species
GGGGGCGUGGUGUAACUGGCUAGCAUGACGGACUCCAGACCCGUAGAUGCCGGUUCAAAUCUGGUCGUCCCUACCA